CGAUCGCCGAAUGCCGCCCGAACAAGGAGAGGGACCGACUUCGGCGAGGGUCGUGACAGGAUUUCCCAAUGUCAUUGGAGCAAUUGACUGCACCCACAUCGCAAUAAAAGCACCAUCAAUGAAUGAAUUCAACUUCGUCAACAGAAAAGGUUUCCAUUCUGUUAAUGUGCAGGUCAUCUGUGAUUCACAUUUGGCUUUGUUGAAUGUAGUGGGCAAAUGGCCAGGUGGGACACGAACAGUUCAGUUGGCCUUAACCUCCAGGAAGGAGCUGUUGAGGACGGAUGGCUUAUUGGAGACCGGAGUUACCCGUUAAAAACAUGGCUGAUGACUCCCCUCACAAACUCCUCAAACCAACAAGAGUCAAGGUACAACGAAGCCCACGCAAGCACAAGAACAACAGUGCAGCGCACCAUAGGCCUGCUGAAAGGGCGUUGUGCUUGUCUGGGACAGGAGGCACACUGCAAUACUAGCCUAGCAAGGCUUGCUACAUUGUCAAGGCUUGGAGUGUAUUCCACAACAUUGCAAUCAAAAAUGGCAUUCCACUGAAUCAUCCACCCAGACCCGAUGAGCCCAUGCCUGACAGGGAGUUUUUUCCACCACCCAUAGCUCUGGCACUGAGGACAAGAGUCAAUAUCAUACAACAGUUUUAGAUAUCUGUUCUUCCAAAUAUUGUAAUCAAAUUGACAAGGAAAACACAUUUACAUUGCACCAGAAUUUAUUGUCUCACAUGUUUGACACAAUCAACAAGUUCUUUCAAUGAUUGAUUAAUCUCUCUCAGGCCGUUGCAUACAUCCUCCAGCUGCUGUUUGAGUCCAAGAAUUGAUGCGUUGAUCUCUUGUUUCAGGACUGCGUCAGUCAAAACAUGUGGCACAGCUGAAUUGCUCCACAAAAAGGAUACCCUUCUGGUAGGCCUGGGACUGAGGGAUCAGGCAAAUCACCCACAUCUGUCAAGAGUUCAUGUUUUGUUAUUUUUGUAAUAUUCAUUUUGUUACAUUUAUUUUGUUAUAUAUAUUUCUUAUAUUUAUUGUCAACAAAAAUUAUUUACAUGUGGUCCAUGUCUGAAUAUGGUUGCAAAAAUAAAGCUUGACUUUUUAAAUUUCAUUAACUGUUCUGCACUCAGAUGAGGCAGAAUUUACCACAGCUCAAGCCUGCUCCCAAGCAAUAUUUUGUCUCUUAUUUGUCAAGCCAUUGCUGAGGGCACCAAAAAGUAUGGCUUGUUUUGCUUCCACUUCAGUGAUCAAAAGUUAUAUUUCUGUGUCCUAAAAAAGUUUUUUUUCUUUGUCUUCUUUGAUUUCUCCAUGUUGGUGGACAGAAAUUAGUGACAUUUCUUGCAGCUUUAAAGGGAAGGUUUGUGACCAGAAAUGGUAAUUUAGUGCGGUUCUUUAUGUAAAUGAGACUUUACGUGCACAGUGUUUUAGAACGUGUCUGAUUUAUCAAGGCAAAAUAAUUACAGGUGUGUGUAAAUCUGUAAACGAUGGGUGCUGAGAGUCGGGAAGCAAGUUCAGGGUGUGAGUGUUUUAAACGGUGACAGGUAUGCGCCAUAACGAGCAGCCUGGUGACCUAGAUUCCGGAGAGGGAGCACACGUGACAAAAUCAAGCAUACGAGCAAUUGAUAAAUACCACAUUUUUUUGUACUUGCAAACAUUCAAAAUGUUCUUUGUACGAGUUAAAUUAGAAGCUUUCUACGCAACAUUGAUAAAUGAGGGCCCUGAUCACGUGAUGGAGUGCGCAGCACUAAGGGAGAAGGCCACAACGACCGCUGGCGGCAAAAGGCAUGGAUUUUUUUAGGGUGCAUUACGGCCAAACAAAGGGGAUGCCGCAGUGAAAUUCUAGGCAU